ACGCCCCCUUUGGCAGCAGCUCCUAGGCGGGGGGGGGAGGGAGACGGAGGUCAGAGGGUCUCUGCGCACUGCUGCCCACAGGCACCACCCCUGCAGCUCCCAUUGGCCGCAGAUCCUGUCCAAUGGAAGCUGUGGAGUUGGCGCUCGGGGCGGGGGCAAUGAAUGGAGACUCCACUCCCCAGGGGCUGCAGGGACAUGCCAGCUGCUUCUGGGAGCGAAGCGGCGUGGAAGAAGGGAGGCAGAGUGGGCAGGGACCCGCCUUAGCCCUGCUGCGCUGCUCGCACGUCACUGCACACCCCUUGGGGGGAAAGGGGCAGCGGGUCUCUGUGUGCUGCCCGGGGUUGGGGAAGCACGCAGAGCCACCUCCCCCGACCUGCCAGGGGCACACAGAGACGUGCCAGCAACCGGCCGUUUCAAGGAGUGGCAUGGGGCCACUGGCCACGGCAUGCAGGCAGCUAGCCUUCCUGAGUCCUGCUUCACCGCUGGCCGGGACUCGGGAGCAGGUUGUCAGAUAUUUGUCCUGCAUUUUGGGAGCCCUCCUGUCAUUUGGGGCCCUCUGCUACCACAUGGGUUGUUUCAUGAUUAAUCCGCUCCUGGGAAAAGGUAAGGUUUGAGACUAAACUUUAUUUAGCCUAAGAUUUUUUUUAUUUCAUUUUUUGAAGUUAGAUAGAGCUUUGCCUGCCUUUGUGUUGAAAUAGUGACUAGCACAAUGUGCCCCAAUCCUGAGUGGGAAUUCUGGCGACAGUGUAAUAUAUUUCAUGACAAUAUAGCGUGUCUGAGAAGUUGGCAUUAUAAAUUAUAGACACUGUCAAUUUCUGCUUACUCGUAGCACUUAAAAUUUGUGAGUGUAUGUAUAAAAUUGCCUGAAUGUUAACCUUUACAAUCCGAUUGGUUAUUUUGCUCACGUGACUGACAUAAAAUGGGGCUAUUGUCAUAAGAGGGAAACAAGAUCUUGUUGGGCUGCACCAUGGAUUUCCAACAUCAAUUCUUACUCCACAAACCUACCAACAUGGCAACCUGUUCUUUGCAAGCUCUGGCUAACAACAGUUUGUCUCCUGCCCUCCUACCCCACAAUUGUCCAAACACAAUAUUUUCCCAUCUUACUUUCUAUGUACAAUUCAUAAACAUCUGCCAGUAUUUACUAUUAGUAUGAAGUGGUUGCGACUCCAUAAUUAAGUUUUAAUUCCAUAGUGAAGAAAUAACACAUCUCUGAUUGAGUGUUGUGGUGUGGCUGGCUCUAUGGAACCCUAAGGUUUAAUUCCAGCUGAAGUUCUCUAUAGGUCUCCAGGAAUUCUUCAAUGACUCUAAUUCAAAUGGACAAUACCAGGAAUCUACUGUUGGGAGACUCCCUCCAAGCCGUUCUGGAGAAAUGUGUAAACCAGUUUUCAGGAGCUCUGCUGGAAAACUCAGAUCUUGGUGAAGGAACUCUUGAACAAAGGAACCUUGAAAUGGGAAAAAGAAUGCCUGCGAACUGAGGAGAUACACAUUGAUUGGAGGGCCAGAGCAGCAGAGGGGCAGAAGCUGUAGGGGUAAAUCCUGUCUCAUUCAACCCCAGUGCUGGGGCUCCCUGGGUAAUGUGGAACCUACUUAAACUGGCAAGGAAAGGCUAAGUUGAGGCUACCACUAGGGUCUGGACAACAGCUCAGGUAACUCAAGUAACACCAUUGUGACAUCAGAGAUAAUUGAACCAGUCACCUCUACAGCUUCAAGCCAUUGGAUCUUGUUGUGCCUCUGCUUUCUAGAUGAAAGAGCUCUUUAUCAUCAGAAAUCUUCUCCUCAAGUAGGUACUUGCAGAUGGUGAUCAAGUUACUUCUCAACCUUUUGUUUAUUAAGCUAAGUAGAUUGUGCUUCUUUAGUCUCUCACUGUAAGGCAAGUUUUCCAGUGCCCAACUCAUUCUUUUUUGAACUCUUCCAGUUUAUUGAUGUAUACCAGAGGGGUCUGAAUGAGUUUCCACCUGCCAUCUAUUGAUGAACUGGGGAAAAAGACUUCAGGAGCAAACCAUAUUUACACAGACACACCUACAUUGCCUAAGAGAUCAGCAAACAGACCUGGUUGGCCAAAGUGAUUAAUUGUGGCUGUUUUGGGCAAAGGGGUGAUGAAAUGUGGUUAUCCUUAUUGUAGGACUAGAAGGCAGCAGAAUUGUACUUACUAUGCUUACUUAGUAACUGAUGCCAACUCCAAGUGAAAGUCAAAGUCGGGGGUUGGGGGUAGGACACACAGGUGUUCCUACUUGCUGGGGCAGACUCUGUUUAAAAGAUCUUAGAUACCAUUUGAUUCUUCCCUUCCAAUGUCUAAACACAGAUCGAGUUAGACUCAGUUAGGAGUCUGUGUUUCUUCUCAAUGAUCACUAGAGCUGAAAAGGUAAUAAACUGGUUUAGGGGCCUUAGACUUAGACCGGGUACAAGGACAGUGUUGCAAUGAAAGACAGCACAAAAGAGACAGCAGCAGUGAGAUUCCCCACUACGCAGUGAAACCACUAAUAGCUGAAAUCACUAAGGACUAGGCUAGGUGGUAGAACCUCAGAGUAUGCAGUUAACAGCUGCUUCUGGAGAGGCAGUGUUGUCACUGACAUCUCACACCUCUUCAGGGCUGGGGGUGAACCCAACUGAACUUUGCUGACCUCAGACAACAAAUUGAGUGUGCUGCAGUGGAGAGAAAAGGAGAGUGACAUGUUAAAGGGACACUAAUAAAUCAUAAGUGAUCAUCAAUGAUCUGGAAAAAGGGCUAAACAGUGAGCUGGCAAAGUUUGCAGUUGAUACAAAAUUACUCAAGAUAGUUAAACCCAAAGCUGACUGUGAAGAGUUACAAAGGGUUCUCACAAAAUUCAGUGACUGGAGAACAAAAUGGCAGAUGAAAUCCAAUGUUGAUAAUUGCAAAGUAAUCCACAUUAGAAAACAUCAUCCUGACUACAUAUAGAAAAUGACAGGAUCUACACUCAACAAAGAGAUCUUGGAGUCAUUAUGAAUAGGUCUCUGAGAACAUUUGCUCAAUGUGAACUGGCAGUUAAAGAAGCUAAAAAUGUUAGGAACCAUUAGGAAAGGGAUAGAUGAUAUGACAGAAAGCAUCAUAAUGCCGCUAUGUAAAUCCAUAGUAUGCCCACACCUUGAAUACUGCAUUCAGU